rnacentral:rRNA from 1 species
UACGGGGGGAGCAAGCGUUGUUCGGAUUUACUGGGCGUAAAGGGCUCGUAGGUGGUCAACUAAGUCGGACGUGAAAUCCCUCGGCUUAACCGGGGAACUGCGUCCGAUACUGGUUGGCUUGAGUUUGGGAGAGGGAUGCGGAAUUCCAGGUGUAGCGGUGAAAUGCGUAGAUAUCUGGAGGAACACCGGUGGCGAAGGCGGCAUCCUGGACCAAUACUGACGCUGAGGAGCGAAAGCCAGGGGAGCAAACGGG